ACGAACGCUGGCGGCGUGCUUAACACAUGCAAGUCGAACGGAAAGGCCCUGCUUUUGUGGGGUGCUCGAGUGGCGAACGGGGGAGUAACACGUGAGUAACCUGCCCUUGACUUUGGGAUAACUUCAGGAAACUGGGGCUAAUACCGGAUAGGAGCUCCUGCUGCCUGGUGGGGGUUGGAAAGUUUCGGCGGUUGGGGAUGGACUCGCGGCUUAUCAGCUUGUUGGUGAGGUAGUGGCUUACCAAGGCUUUGACGGGUAGCCGGCCUGAGAGGGUGACCGGCCACAUUGGGACUGAGAUACGGCCCAGACUCCUACGGGAGGCAGCAGUGGGGAAUAUUGCACAAUGGGCGGAAGCCUGAUGCAGCAACGCCGCGUGCGGGAUGACGGCCUUCGGGUUGUAAACCGCUUUCGCCUGUGACGAAGCGUGAGUGACGGUAAUGGGUAAAGAAGCACCGGCUAACUACGUG
rnacentral:rRNA from 1 species